AGCCUGCCGGGGACGGGGGGGAGUGACUGGAAGGCGGGACGCGAUCGGUACUGGGAGCCCUGGUUGCGUGUGAGGAGGAGGAGGGGCAUCCCGGUCCAUGCUCCUGCACGCUGGUCAAGCGCGUGGUGGAGCCGCAGCCUGAAUGACUCGUGCGGGACAGGACCGCCCUGCGAUCUGCACGGCCCAGUAUUUCCCUGGGCCCUGGGACAGAGGAGAGAAGAUGCAGGAGUCAUUGCUGAAUUGUACCAAGGACCGGGGAAGGUGGAAUGGGCUUUUCUAAAUAAAGCCUGUUCCUGAUGGUUUGUCUGAAUUGGUC